rnacentral:lncRNA from 1 species
GAGGAACAGCGAGCGGCCCCCGCCCCCGGGCCGGCCGGAGCGCGCCCGGCCCGCCGCCCGCAGCCCCAGAGCCGCGCCUCCUCGGAUCGACAGCCAGUCUCUUUGCCCGCGCAGUUAGGGUGCCCUCCACCACCGCCAAGCCCGCGGACAUGUCCUUCCCGCAGCUGGGCUACCCGCAAUACCUAAGCGCCGCGGGCCCGGGCGCCUACGGUGGAGAGCGCCCUGGGAUGCUGGCUGCGGCCG